rnacentral:misc_RNA from 1 species
CCUACGGGGGGCAGCAGUGGGGAAUCUUGCGCAAUGGUCGAAAGACUGACGCAGCGACGCCGCGUGUGGGAGGACGCCCUUCGGGGUGUAAACCACUGUUGCCCGGGACGAACCUCCCUUUUCGAGGGGACUGACGGUACCGGGUGAGGAAGCACCGGCUAACUCUGUGCCAGCAGCCGCGGUAAUACAGAGGGUGCGAGCGUUGUCCGGAAUCACUGGGCGUAAAGGGCGCGUAGGCGGUCGGAUAAGCGUGCGGUGAAAGCCCGGGGCUCAACCCCGGGUCGGCCGUGCGGACUGUCGGACUGGAGCACUGUAGAGGCAGGUGGAAUUCCGGGUGUAGCGGUGGAAUGCGUAGAGAUCCGGAAGAACACCGGUGGCGAAGGCGGCCUGCUGGGCAGUGGCUGACGCUGAGGCGCGACAGCGUGGGGAGCAAACAGGAUUAGAUACCCCUGUAGUC